UGCAAAAAUGUUGAGUUUCAACCUAAAUUUUAUAAUAAUAAAUUAAUAUCUGGUAUAAUUAAAUACUAUUUGUAUCAUUUCAUUUAUAAAUUACACUUAAAUAGACCUGCUUUCUUUUCUGGGCUUUGCUUGUAUGUCCAAAUAUCUGCUCGCUGUGAGAGGCCAGGUGAUAAUGUGGAGACAUUAGUGUUAUUAGCAUAUGAAGAGAGGAGACCAUCAGUUUACCAGACGCUGCUGGGGGAACUGGGGGGUGUGGGGAUUCUUUAAAACAAGUCACUUUGAUUCAGAUUGAUCUGAUUUAAGAUUAUGUAGCUUGACAAAUAAUCCGAUUUUAUUUUACUUUUUUAUAAUGCACUAGCCAGGAAAGACCAUCAUACACAUUGUAGAUACUGAUAUAUAUAUGUAUGAUUCAAUGUUUAGGUCUCCAUUUUGUUCACUACUGCAUGGUCAUUUCUACACAGACUAAACUGAACAUGCUAAACUUACACAGCAACAGGUCUGAACCUGAACUGUACUACUAACGUAAAAAGAUUAAGAACACCGCAUUUAAAGUCUUUUAAAUCAUUGAUGCAACUUAUAAAAAUUACAUUUUCUGAAUGAGGAAUUGUUUUAUUUUUUGUGUGGCUUAACGUCGGGUUUUGAGUAGAGUUUUCUAUUGAAAUUAUUAAUUUUAAGUUUACUCCGUGACGUCACGUUGUUGUUCUAAUCGACGUUCAGAAGAAUCCAUUCAACACGGCGGGUAAUCACAAGCGACUGGAGCAAACUUAUGGAACAACUUGCUGAGCUGGAUGCUGAAUAUAACAGAGUGAGCCUCAACACUUCAGGUUUCACCAUAUCAGAGACCUGCAGGAUUUCACAGACAUUCAUGACAGUCUAAACGUCUGUUCUUCAUGUGAGGGCAAAUCACAAACACUAACUGCCUCCAUCACCGUUUUUUUAUUAUUAUAGUUUUUUUUUUUUACAUGAUGUCAACAUUAAGGAGCCCUUCAUGCUUUCCCAGUGUACAUGUGUGAGAAUAAAUGUUCUUUAGGACAUAAAAUGUAAGAAUUAAGUGCCAUUAUAGAUCUGAAAUGAGAGUGGUGGAAUUAUGACGUCAGAGCGGUCCGUUGCAUUGAGAUUUUCAUAUGUUUUUUUAAUGGAGUUUUUCAAUUUAUGAAUAAAAUAAUGCCUGUGGUAAAAAUAACUUGACGAUGCUUCUAUUUAUUUUCUACAGUGUAAACUGCACACACUCACAGCCUAAAACUUUCUAAUUUAAAUUAAAAUAAAUUAA